UUGUGACGACUAUUUAUAUUCUCUCUUCUGCUGCUCUCGCAAGUCACGCAAUUGAAAGCGCUCGAUCUCAGAGCCGUUGACAUCAUAAUACUGGUGUGAUGUAAUCUGUGCUAAAGACAUCAGCGAUUACAAUACAUCUAACAUGGCCAAUUGUGGGAAAAGCAACGUCACGAUUCGGCCAACGCCAAUACAAACGUUCUAUGCGAGCCAGUCAAUCUUUAUUACAAGUAUUUACUGCGUCUGAAUGCAACGCGAUCAUAUGUGAUACGAUGAGCAAUAACUUGUGUAUCAUUGAUAUAUAAAAUAAUAUGUAUUAAAUCAGGAGUUUCCUUGGGAACGGGUUUCCUUGGGAAGAUUUUGAUCGAAAAAUUGCUGCGAAGUUGUCCUGACGUCUCUAAGAUAUACCUAAUGGUGUGUUCAAAAAAAAACAAAAGCGCUGCGACUCGGUUGGACGAAAUAUUUGAAACUCCCUCGAGUGAAUAAAGAGACGCCCAACUUUUAUGAAAUAAUUGUGCCACUGAUCGGCGAAUUGUACAAAGUAAACUUGGGAUUCAUGAAAGGUGACACGGAUUUACUAAGGCACAAGGUAAGGAAUCUAAUCGUGAAAUUCCAAAAAAACUUUACAACAAGGUAAGGAAUCUAAUCGUGAAAUUCCAACAAAAAAUUUCUCGUACAAAAAGUACG